AACAUCGCGCACCUGCGGGAACCUGCGGAAGGAUCAUUACAGAGUUGCAAAACUCCCUAAACCAUUGUGAACGUUACCUAAACCGUUGCUUCGGCGGGCGGCCCGGGUCCUUCCCGGCGCCCCUCGGCCCUCGCGGGCGCCCGCCGGAGGUAAACCAAACUAUUGCAUUGUAUGGCCUCUCUGAGUCUUCUGUACUGAAUAAGUCGAAACUUUCAACAACGGAUCUCAGAUCGGAAGAGC
rnacentral:misc_RNA from 1 species